UACGUAGGUGGCAAGCGUUGUCCGGAAUUAUUGGGCGUAAAGCGCGCGCAGGUGGUUUCUUAAGUCUGAUGUGAAAGCCCCGGGCUCAACCUGGGAAUGGCAUUGGAAACUGGCUCGCUGGAGUGUGGCAGAGGGGGGUGGAAUUCCGCGUGUAGCAGUGAAAUGCGUAGAGAUGCGGAGGAACACCGAUGGCGAAGGCAGCCCCCUGGCGAACACUGACGCUCAGGCACGAAAGCGUGGGGAGCAAACAGG
rnacentral:rRNA from 1 species